UACGGGGGGGGCAAGCGUUGUUCGGAAUUACUGGGCGUAAAGGGCUCGUAGGCGGCCAACUAAGUCAGACGUGAAAUCCCUCGGCUUAACCGGGGAACUGCGUCUGAUACUGGAUGGCUUGAAUCCGGGAGAGGGAUGCGGAAUUCCAGGUGUAGCGGUGAAGUGCGUAGAUAUCUGGAGGAACACCGGUGGCGAAGGCGGCAUCCUGGACCGGCAUUGACGCUGAGGAGCGAAAGCCAGGGGAGCAAACGGG
rnacentral:rRNA from 1 species